UUGUAAGUUUUUAAGGGCGCAUGGUGGAUGCCUUGGCAUUAGGAGCCGAAGAAGGACGUAGGAAUCUGCGAUAAGCCUCGGGGAGUUGAUAACCGAACUUUGAUCCGAGGAUGUCCGAAUGGGGAAACCCCGCUGCCUGUUAUGGGUAGUGACCCGCAGCUGAACACAUAGGCUGUGUGGGGGGAACGUGGGGAAGUGAAACAUCUCAGUACCCACAGGAAGAGAAAACAAUAGUGAUUCCGUUAGUAGUGGCGAGCGAACGCGGAUCAGGCUAAACCGUGUCUGUGUGAUACCCGGUAGGGGUUGCAGGUACGGGGUUGUGGGACGCAUUGUCCUGGUUCUACCGGGCCAGGGGGGUGAGUGUGCAGGUAUAGGUGAACGGCUUUGAAUGGUCGGCCAGAGAGGGUGGGAGUCCCGUAACUGAAAUAUUUUGCACCGCUCUAUGUGUGUUUCCCAAGUAGCACGGGGCCCGAGAAAUCCCGUGUGAAUCUGUCAGGACCACCUGAUAAGCCUAAAUACUUCCUAAUGACCGAUAGCGGACUAGUACCGUGAGGGAAAGGUGAAAAGUACCCCGGGAGGGGAGUGAAAUAGUACCUGAAACCAUGUGCUUACAAUCCGUCAGAGCUAGCUUGUUCUAGUGAUGGCGUGCCUUUUGAAGAAUGAGCCUGCGAGUUAGUGCUCAGUGGCGAGGUUAACCCGUGUGGGGCAGCCGUAGCGAAAGCGAGUCUGAAUAGGGCGUUUGAGUCGCUGGGUCUAGACCCGAAGCGGAGUGAUCUACCCAUGGCCAGGUUGAAGCGACGGUAAGACGUCGUGGAGGACCGAACCCACUUCAGUUGAAAAUGGAGGGGAUGAGCUGUGGGUAGGGGUGAAAGGCCAAUCAAACUCCGUGAUAGCUGGUUCUCCCCGAAAUGCAUUUAGGUGCAGCGUUACGUGUUUCUUACUGGAGGUAGAGCUACUGGAUGGCUAAUGGGCCCUACAAGGUUACUGACGUCAGCCAAACUCCGAAUGCCGGUAAGUGAGAGCGUAGCAGUGAGACUGUGGGGGAUAAGCUUCAUAGUCGAGAGGGAAACAGCCCAGACCACCAACUAAGGCCCCUAAGCGUGUGCUAAGUGGGAAAGGAUGUGGGAUUGCUCAGACAACCAGGAGGUUGGCUUAGAAGCAGCCACCCUUGAAAGAGUGCGUAAUAGCUCACUGGUCAAGUGAUUCCGCGCCGACAAUGUAGCGGGGCUCAAGUACACCGCCGAAGUUGUGGCAUUCAUAUUAGUGGUAAGCCUUCGUGGUUCAGCCGUAUGGAUGGGUAGGGGAGCGUCGUGUGGGCAGUGAAGUCGCGGUGUAAACCAGCGGUGGAGCCUACACGAGUGAGAAUGCAGGCAUGAGUAGCGAAUGACGGGUGAGAAACCCGUCCGCCGAAUGAUCAAGGGUUCCAGGGUCAAGCUAAUCUGCCCUGGGUAAGUCGGGACCUAAGGCGAGGCCGACAGGCGUAGUCGAUGGACAACGGGUUGAUAUUCCCGUACCGGCGAAAAACCGCCCAAGCUAAUCCAGUGAUGUUCAUUGCCCGAGCCCGGGCCUGUUACACCCUUCGGGGUGUUUGGUUUCGGGGGAGCGUGGUGUUCUUUGAUCUGGUGCGGUUAGCGUAUUAACAGGUGUGACGCAGGAAGGUAGCCGAGCCGGGCGAUGGUUGUCCCGGUCUAAGCAGGUAGGCCGUUUCCUAGGCAAAUCCGGGAAACAUGUGGCUGAGACGUGAUGGGACCCCCGUAGGGGGGAAUUCGGUGAUCCUAUGCUGCCAAGAAAAGCAUCGACGCGAGGUUUUAGCCGCCCGUACCCCAAACCGACACAGGUGAUCAGGUAGAGAAUACUAAGGCGAUCGAGAGAAUUAUGGUUAAGGAACUCGGCAAAAUGCCCCCGUAACUUCGGGAGAAGGGGGGCCCGGACUGUGAUGAGGACUUUGCUCCUCGGAGCGGGUAAGGGCCGCAGAGACCAGGGGGAAGCGACUGUUUACUAAAAACACAGGUCCGUGCGAAGUCGCAAGACGAUGUAUACGGACUGACUCCUGCCCGGUGCUGGAAGGUUAAGAGGACCGGUUAGCUCUUCGGAGCGAAGCUGAGAAUUUAAGCCCCAGUAAACGGCGGUGGUAACUAUAACCAUCCUAAGGUAGCGAAAUUCCUUGUCGGGUAAGUUCCGACCUGCACGAAUGGAGUAACGACUUCCCCGCUGUCUCAACCAUAAACUCGGCGAAAUUGCAGUACGAGUAAAGAUGCUCGUUACGCGCAGCAGGACGGAAAGACCCCGAGACCUUUACUAUAGUUUGGUAUUGGUGUUCUAAGUGGUUUGUGUAGGAUAGGUGGGAGACUUUGAAGCCAUGACGCCAGUUAUGGUGGAGUCAUCGUUGAAAUACCACUCUGAUCACUUGGGAUUCCUAACUUCGGCCCGUAAUCCGGGUCAGGGACAGUGCCUGAUGGGUAGUUUAACUGGGGCGGUUGCCUCCUAAAAAGUAACGGAGGCGCCCAAAGGUUCCCUCAGCCUGGUUGGCAAUCAGGUUUCGAGUGUAAGUGCACAAGGGAGCUUGACUGUGAGAGAGACAUCUCGAGCAGGGACGAAAGUCGGGACUAGUGAUCCGGCGGCACAUUGUGGAAUGGCCGUCGCUCAACGGAUAAAAGGUACCUCGGGGAUAACAGGCUGAUCUUGCCCAAGAGUCCAUAUCGACGGCAUGGUUUGGCACCUCGAUGUCGGCUCGUCGCAUCCUGGGGCUGGAGUAGGUCCCAAGGGUUGGGCUGUUCGCCCAUUAAAGCGGUACGCGAGCUGGGUUUAGAACGUCGUGAGACAGUUCGGUCCCUAUCCGCUGCGCGCGCAGGAAAUUUGAGAAGAGCUGUCCUUAGUACGAGAGGACCGGGACGGACGAACCUCUGGUAUGCCAGUUGUACCGCCAGGUGCACCGCUGGUUAGCUACGUUCGGAAGGGAUAACCGCUGAAAGCAUCUAAGCGGGAAGCCCACUUCGAGAUGAGAUUUCCAUACACAUUUUUGUGUGAGAGGCCCCCAGCUAGACCACUGGGUUGAUAGGCCGGAUGUGGAAGCGAGGACUAACGACUCGUGAAGCUGACCGGUACUAAUAGGCCGAUAACCUACAACA
rfam:Arthrobacter sp. IHBB 11108, complete genome.